GAUGAACGCUAGCGGCAGGCUUAACACAUGCAAGUCGAGGGGCAGCAUAAUGGAUAGCAAUAUCUAUGGUGGCGACCGGCGCACGGGUGCGUAACGCGUAUGCAACCUACCUUUAACAGGGGGAUAACACUGAGAAAUUGGUACUAAUACCCCAUAAUAUCAUAGAAGGCAUCUUUUAUGGUUGAAAAUUCCGAUGGUUAGAGAUGGGCAUGCGUUGUAUUAGCUAGUUGGUGGGGUAACGGCUCACCAAGGCGACGAUACAUAGGGGGACUGAGAGGUUAACCCCCCANACUGGUACUGAGACACGGACCAGACUCCUACGGGAGGCAGCAGUGAGGAAUAUUGGUCAAUGGACGCAAGUCUGAACCAGCCAUGCCGCGUGCAGGAUGACGGCUCUAUGAGUUGUAAACUGCUUUUGUACUAGGGUAAACUCACCUACGUGUAGGUGACUGAAAGUAUAGUACGAAUAAGGAUCGGCUAACUCCGUGCCAG
rnacentral:rRNA from 1 species